rnacentral:misc_RNA from 1 species
GAUGAAGAACGUAGCGAAAUGCGAUAAGUAAUGUGAAUUGCAGAAUUCAGUGAAUCAUCGAAUCUUUGAACGCACAUUGCGCCCGCCAGUAUUCUGGCGGGCAUGCCUGUUCGAGCGUCAUUUCAACCAUCAAGCCCCCGGCUUGUGUUGGGGACCUGCGGCUGCCGCAGGCCCUGAAAACCAGUGGCGGGCUCGCUGUCACACCGAGCGUAGUAGAUUUUCAUCUCGCUCAGGGCGUGCUGCGGGUUCCGGCCGUAAAAAGCCUUAUUUACCCAAGGUUGACCUCGGAUCAGGUAGGGAGACCCGCUGAACUUAAGCAUAUCAAUAAGCGGAGGA